rnacentral:lncRNA from 1 species
AGAUAUUCUCGCGAUAUUGUUACUCAAUAUCGUCCUGUCGGGACGCGUCUUUACUUCUCCAUUGAAAGUCAUGUUCACACCCUGAUUAAUGCCAUUAGAUAUGCAAAUCUUUGUGACGUAAGUACAGUGACAUCUCUUCGAUUGCAAAAGCUUGUAGCACGUACGCACGUGCACACGCGCAAAUCGUUAUAGAUCGGUAAACAAGUUGUAACAAUAUAUCACGAUGUGUUUGAUGUGUUCCUGGUUGUUGUGACAACUUUGGAACAAGUUAUUAUCACCUUGUCACGAGGUUGAUGGCGGUAACAGACUCGCUACAAGUUGUUCCAACAAGACUAAUACAGGCUCGUUGUAACCAACUUUCUAGCAAUUUGUUACGUGCAGACGAUAUAAGACUUAUUGGAACAACUUGUUACGAGUCUGUUGGCCUCUCAUCGACCUGGUUACAAGAUGAUGACAACUUGUCCAAGACUAGUCAUCAACUGGGAACAAGCAGUGUGAACACAUGCAUUUGGUUUUUAACCGUGUCUUAUUCUAGAUGCUGACUGUUCUACUCCUUCUCCAAAAUUCACAUAAUUCCAAUCUUUGAUUUAAAUAAAAUAAGUUCGGUGGCCGAAGUGGUUAGCGCACUUGCCUUUGACCUCCAAGACCGCAGGUCCAAAUCUCAGAGCGAACUUUCUCAACGCGACUCGAACCUUCCCAACGCGACUCGAACCCAGUCCCCACGCUAAAAGAGCAAAAGGCAACGCGCCGCCGAAAGUCGUGGACCCCUUCGGGUACUCCGGUCUCCCCCACAGGGAACGUUGACAGGGUGGGUUAGGUAAAAGGGUCCACAGUACAGUAAUUGGCAUAUGCUGCUGUGGUGACCCUGCCCUAGUUGGCAAAGCUAAUACAAUAAGACAAAAACUUGCUCUAUGCUCGUCUAAACAAAUGUUUAAGAGGUAUUUCUUUUCAAUGUAUUUGCGAUGAAAAGGGUUCAGAACCUAAAAUCUAUUUGGGGUUCCUUUCAAAAUUACUUUGUUUUAGCUUUAUUUUGUAAUUUACACAGUUUGCAACCUUUUUAAAUGCAUCUGGCGUUUGAGAAACGCAAAAUAAUAGUUAAAUAUUGUCAAUUCAAAUACAGUUAUUAUUAAUGCUGUAUUUAUACAGCCAUACAAGCAAAACUCACUGAACUUCAGACAUCAUUUUCUCUUGCAUGGUUGAGUUACUCGCCCUAUAUCACCUCAUAUUUCAAAAUUUUCCAUUGCAUUCCUUUACCGAUAUCUUUCUCCGUUCUUGAAAUUAUUGACCAAAAACAAUGGACUGCUUGCCAACGCGGAUGGACUGUCUACCAUCUUUUGAUUAACGAUUUCUUUGGCAACGUGGAAAACAGCAUUAAUGAAGGCUAAGUAUGUAACUAUGGGAAAACGUAAUACUUGACGUCAAGCGCUUUUGAUCAUAAUUAUUCACAUGUAAAUUUGCGCCAUAACGAAAUGUUAGUAUUAUUUUUUUCUUUUUUGACAGAAACAUUGCGUGUGAUUUACGGCGAUACAAGACCACCUGAAGCGAAAGAAAAUAUACAAAAAUGACAACUACAGUACUGCUGCCAGAACGUCGAACAGCCCAAAGAGAUGCAGGAGCGACCAUUUCUUCCACCAGACAUCACACCAAAGAUGAUGCAACAAAAAACAUGAUCAUAAGUCAUAUACUUAUGCAUUGUAUGUUUUCAAUAUGUCGAUGGCAUCGCAAAUUUUUUCAAUAUAAAGGAUCAGUCCUCUAUAUUUAAGAAUUUGUGACGCGAAGCUACAAAUCUAAGUCGUUACUAAUAGUGAUUGAGGACCGUAAUUUGAAGCAAGAAAAGUUUCGGAACACUAUACCUGCAAGUUGCCAGUCCUAACUGGCACCCCCAAUAUUUCGGGGCGAACUGUCUACCGCCGAUGCGAAAUUUUGAACCUGUUCGUUUUCAAGGCUGUAUCAAAACUAUGCCUGUUUAUCCCUAUGAUUAAUAUAAAUAAUAUAUUUCGUUUUCGACGUCUUAGAUAUUUAUAUAAUUAUCACCUCUCUUUUAGGCUGUCUGAAGACUGUGGGAAGCUACAAAGUCCAGUUGUCUAACUGUGACCGCAAGUUCAUAUAUAUAUACAUAGGCCUACUCUGGGCAUGCCAAACUCUGGGUAUGACAUUUUUAACUACAAAUCCAUUCAACAAUUACUUAUAUCGAGUGAUGUGCCCAAAAUCCUGAAAUUAACCCAUACACAUGCAUCGAGUUAAUGGCUACGCGAAUUGUAUGGUGAACAAAAAGGUGAACAAAAAUGCUUUCAAAAUUUCUGUACAAUUGGAAAUAUGCCUAUCUGCAGAGAAAUUAAAUUACUUUUCAUUUCUUCAAGUCCUUUCAUGACUCUUUCCAACCUACUCAACUACAAUAUUUUUUAUUAAUUUAUCCUGAACAAGUUGUAGCUGAGUUGAUUCGAGCCAUGUACGGCAGAAUUCAACAAGUCGAGUCUGGGCUGUCGACUCGAGUCGAGUUUUUUGUUUCAUGUUCAACUCGAGUGGCAGAAAAUUGGGACUCUAGUCCGAGUCAAUGACUCGACUCGUUACAACACUGCCUUAGUCAUGAACUUGCGGUACAUGAACGUGGCAGCCACAACAAAAGAGAGGAAAUAACGGGAAAAGAUUUCAAAUAUUGCUUUGACUAAACAAACAGGUAUUUCGACGAUGUAUAUGCCCAAUCUAAAUUUGACAGUAUAUACUUAUUUCACUAUAUAUUGCCAGUCACUGUUUCAAAGCAGUGUCUGUGUCUGUGUCCCAUUACACAUCUUUCCAGAACGUAUUUGCAAAUGUUCCAGAACAGUAAAUGGAGCUUUGUUACAGUACAAGCCAUGUAAACCGAGGUACGGUUGUGUUUAGAGAAUGAACGUUAAAUGAAGUGGUAGUAAACAUUUCUGAACCGUUCUGGAAAGAUUGUUUAAUGUGCUCCUGGUGUGUCACACAAUAAUUGUACAACAGAAUUUAAUGCAUUGUCUAUUUAUUUACUUACUAACCCAAACAACUUUAAACUUUGACUUUUACAAGCAAGCCAUGUCGCAGCUUUUCAGAAGACCUCUCUCCAAAACACUUCCAAGCGACUGCAAAGCUAGCCUUACAAAGUCACUACAAUCAUAUUAUUAUGUACGCCUCUAUAUAAGCCUUAUGCAAGUCUCGACUAGCAUUGACGCUAUAUAAACCAGCCAUUCAUUACAAAUCAUAGCAUGCAACUCACGACAUACUGAUGCAAAUCAUGCGCUACAAAAGUUACUACAAAUCCUUAAAACAUGUUCACUACAAGCAUAAUUUUUGAAGUCAUGCACUACAAGUAAUAAAUUAAGAUUUUUAUGUCUGUAAAUGACAUGGCGAUAUCUAGUUAGCUAGCUUUAAAACUAAUACUAAUUUUAUUAAUUUUAAUAACGUUACACAAUGCAAAAAAAUGAGAGCCGUUGGUUUUCAUGAGGAGGAUUUGGGUGGUGAGUACAGUGUUACUAGUUUAAAUAUCCACGAUCGGCAUUAUGUACCGUAAAUGAUCUAAUUAACGCCUGGUCGUUUGUUUAAUUGCCAAUUGGCAUUUUGACUAUGCGGUCAAAAUUUUUUGAUUUUUUGAUUUUGUUUUAAUUAGUAAUUUAUAUGUUUUUGUAUUCAC